GCGAAAAGCACCCUAGGCCGAGGCGCCUUCUUCUCCGUGUGCCCCCGCUCCUGUCGCGCAUGGUCCUGGUGGUGCGCGUAAUGGACUCGGUGGGCUGCCGUCUACUGUUGGCUGUGCGGCCCAAGGUAACCGCACGCCUGCUCCUUUCGCCUCUCCGGUUUCUUGGACUGGAUGGAGCCAGGGUAUUUCACCACUUGCUUCAACCCUAAUCCAUUCACCGCAGAUUCUUCUCCCUGUCGCGACCUCUGACGAUGCGGUCUCCAAGUCCAGAAAAAGAAGGAAAGAAAAUUGGUGGAACAAGGAAGCCUCAAAAUCAGAAGGAUGGCGUGUGAGAUCUACAACAAGACUCGUGGUUGGAAGCCAAUCGACAGACGGAUCCAGUGAAGAUUCUGCUGUGUUUGGCUAUUUUGGUUCAUCAUCAUUGUGUUUGCUGUAAUCCCCCCUUGCCUCGGUAGCUUCAGGCUGCUGAAAAACUUUGGGAUUUAUCGAGGUUGAAGAUGUUUAGUUUCGUGCUACUCUAGUUUGAUCCUUGCGAUCUUUGUCUU